ACAGGAUUAGAUACCCUGGUAGUCCACGCCGUAAACGAUGCUAACUCGUUUUUGGGUUUUCGGAUUCAGAGACUAAGCGAAAGUGAUAAGUUAGCCACCUGGGGAGUACGUUCGCAAGAAUGAAACUCAAAGGAAUUGACGGGGGCCCGCACAAGCGGUGGAUUAUGUGGUUUAAUUCGAUGAUACGCGAGGAACCUUACCAAGGCUUAAAUGGGAAUUGAUCGGUUUAGAAAUAGACCUUCCUUCGGGCAAUUUUCAAGGUGCUGCAUGGUUGUCGUCAGCUCGUGCCGUGAGGUGUUAGGUUAAGUCCUGCAACGAGCGCAACCCCUGUUACUAGUUGCUACCAUUAAGUUGAGGACUCUAGUAAGACUGCCUACGCAAGUAGAGAGGAAGGUGGGGAUGACGUCAAAUCAUCACGGCCCUUACGCCUUGGGCCACACACGUAAUACAAUGGCAGGUACAGAGGGCAGCUACACAGCGAUGUGAUGCGAAUCUCGAAAGCCUGUCUCAGUUCGGAUUGGAGUCUGCAACUCGACUCUAUGAAGCUGGAAUCGCUAGUAAUCGCGCAUCAGCCAUGGCGCGGUGAAUACGUUCCCGGGCCUUGUACACACCGCCCGUCAAGCCAUGGAAGUCUGGGGUACCUGAAGUCGGUGACCGUAAAAGGAGCUGCCUAGGGUAAAACAGGUAACUAGGGCUAAGUCG
rnacentral:rRNA from 1 species